GAUGAACGCUGGCGGCGUGCCUAAUACAUGCAAGUCGAGCGAACAGACGAGAGUGCUUGCACUCUCUGACGUUAGCGGCGGACGGGUGAGUAACACGUGGGUAACCUACCUAUAAGACUGGGAUAACUUCGGGAAACCGGAGCUAAUACCGGAUAAUAUUUAGCUUCGCAUGAAGCAAUAGUGAAAGACGGUUCUGCUGUCACUUAUAGAUGGACCCGCGGUGUAUUAGCUAGUUGGUGAGGUAACGGCUCACCAAGGCAACGAUACAUAGCCGACCUGAGAGGGUGAUCGGCCACACUGGGACUGAGACCCGGCCCAGACUCCUACGGGAGGCAGCAGUAGGGAAUCUUCCGCAAAGGACGAAAGUCUGACGGAGCAAUGCCGCGUGAGUGAAGAAGGUUUUCGGAUCGUAAAACUCUGUUGUAAGGGAAGAACAAGUACGUUAGUAACUGAACGUACCUUGACGGUACCUUACCAGAAAGCCACGGCUAACUACGUG
rnacentral:rRNA from 1 species